CUCGCAGAGAUGCUGGUAAACUUUCUCCAGAUCCUCCAGCUCCGUCAGCGCCGAGAUGGUGUCCAUACUCACAAAAGACACGGACCCGGAGUCGCAUCUUCUCGCUGAUAAGGGUCCACUGUCAGCCAUCUUCCGCCACCGGAACAGGACCCAGGAGCCAACGUCAGCAGGUGCUGCCUUCAAUUAGGCAUUCCUGGCUGUGCUGGGCGACCUUAUGCGGGCGGUGAGUGGCCGACGUGUGUGACCCACUCCAAGAGUCCACAUCAAGAAGGUUACUACACUGGCGGGAGAAGAGUCAGAAGUGGGAACUAAAAGUUCAUCGGUGACUUUUUGUUGUGAUGAUCACUCACAUUUAAGAAUAUGCAACCAAAAUGUUAUUUUUUUUCCUAUUGUGUCUAGUCAUAACAGAAAAGAAUGUAUUCUGGGAUGUUCCAGUGCAGAAGAUACUUGAUACUUUAUCGACAUUGUUGUGUUGUGUUUGAGUCACAUACAAGUUAUGUCAAGAGACUGCUGCCCGCAUUGCUAUAUCGACUACAAAACAAGAACUUAUGGAGUCGUGCCAUGCUGAGUGGGUACUAGUGGUAAAGAAGCAUUACUAACAGCUGUUAGUAUUAAAACUGUGUAUUUUCCUGGAAAGUGA